rnacentral:lncRNA from 1 species
CUUUAAUUAUUUUAAAAAGUACUGUUGAAAAAAAAAGAAAUAAAAUUAUUGUUAUAAGUGAAAAAAGUAAAAAAUAGAAAAAAAGACCAUUAUUAUAGAAAGGAGGAUUUUUUCUUCUAAUUGGUAAUAAUAACACUAAUCAAAGGUUGACCUAGAGUAGAUAAUUACUAAUUAUGCAGACAUGGAUUGAUUAGAAGCUGGUAAUUCCCCAACCUACUUUGCAA